rnacentral:lncRNA from 1 species
GGAACAGGAUCUGCAGUGAUUUCCUUUCUGCAUUUACAGUGACCUCUGCAACAAUCAUACCACCCAUCUGCAGUGAAUUCCACACCCACCCACAGUGGAGACCAUCCCCAGGUGUGGACGGGACCCUCCUGGAGGCAUCUGCGUGAUGAUGGAGACGGUGUUGCAGAGCAGUAUGGAACAGACGCCAGUCAGUGUCUUGAAGGAUGAGCCAUGUUUCUGAUGCAGGAUUUCUGAUAGCGGAAGAACAAUCAUGAGAGAUGGAUUAUCGUGAAUUUGGAGGUUAAACACUGGCAUGUGACUGGUGUUGAGGCUUAUUGUGGAAAUGGAAAGGAGUCCUGCAUAGAGAGCCUGUGAAGAAGCUGUGACAGCUGGUCACCCCACUGGCUUCGGGAGUCACCUCCCUGUGUUGUGCUGGGGCAGGCUC